rnacentral:misc_RNA from 1 species
GAACGAGGAGAUUACUUUAUUCAGCAAAUAAUAAAUAGGAAUUUGUCACACAAUAUGGGAGUGGUCUCUUAUGCUUUCUACCUCUCAAUUAAUAGCUGAAUGCUGUGAGUCGCACAACGGAAAACGAAGAAGAAGGCAUAAGGUUAGUAUAGAAUGGGCAACAACUAUGGUCUGCCAACCAAGCAGCAGAAACAAUGCAACACCACUCCUAGAGAGACUGCCCUGAUGGGUGCCGUGCUGCAGAAUGAGGUAAACCAAGUAAAACGCCUGGUUAAGAGUAGCAAGGCUGACAUAGAUGUGGUCAAUUCUGAUGGCAACACGGCAUUGGAUCUAGCCCUUUUGACUGUCAUGAGUUCGGAAGCCUCAACAGUUCCAAUAGAUAUAGUAAAGGUCUUAUUACGUGGAGGAGCGGAUAAAUUGUCUCAUCAGACGCUAUUCAAGACCAUCGGGGUGUUGAUCAUAAAGGAACAGACUUCCAAUGAGCUAUCUGUGCUCUCUCAAGUUAUAUCUGAGCAUACUAGGUCACAGACAAUACGAGGGCUGUUCUUGCAGUGUCUGGUGCGUGGAGAACGCCCAGACUUAAUAGAACAACUUCUUGCUAAGGGAUGUAAUCCCCUCCUAUUUUGGGAGGAUCAGUAUAAUCUCCUAGACCAAUACGAUACAAUGGUAGGAGUAAGCUACUUCGAGAGGGAACGUCUUGUACCACCGGAUGUCGCACUACUUUUUAUCAAAGCUGCGACAAAUAAAAACAAAUCAACAGUUCUUCAAAAGGUUGUUUCGGAUAUGCUAAAGUAUGACCGUGGAUUCUUCACAGAGGAACGUAUGGACCAAGCACGUGAACUUUAUUCCGUUAUUAAAAAGAGCUCUCAUGAACUCGGCCCAUCAGAAGAAGAAAAAUUAAGUUGGAUAAAGUGAAUAUACCAUAUCUGACUUUUCAUCAUGAUCUGUUUAAUGGUUCUGAUUUAAUGUCACAAGAACAUUGAAUCAAAUGCAAAGAUAUAAUGAAUGCUAUGUGGAACUGUUGCUUCAUACUAUAUGAGGUGAAGCAGUUGCAUGUUACCUGAGCCGAAUAGUGAAUGUUGUUGGUAUGGUCUGCUUCGGAACAAUCCGUAAAAUGCAUGGGUAUCAACACAUUGUGUAGCUUGCACACAUUUAUUGAACGUCUCUGAGCUAUAAGUGGGAACUUUAGUGAAUGCAUCAUAGUGAAAAUCUUUAAUAUUCCUGAAAUAAAAGUUUUUUGGGGGGAAUUUUUAGAAAAAGACAUGUCAAGGAAUGAUAUGAGCCAAAUAUUCAAAAAUUCAAACAAUUUUUGUUAAGCCUGUUUACUAGAUCUGAUUCUCCC